rnacentral:rRNA from 1 species
GACGAACGCUGGCGGCGUGCCUAAUACAUGCAAGUCGAGCGAACGGAUCAGUAGCUUGCUCCUCUGAUUUUAUCGGGCGAAGGAUGCUUCACUUGUGGAUAACCUACCUAUCCGACUGGGAUACCUUCGGGAAAUCGUAUCUAAUUCCGUAUGAUUUUUUGAAUCGCAUUGUUCAAAAGUGAAAUUCGGUCUUGCUGUCACUUAUAUAUUGAUCCGCUCUGCAUUAGCUAGUUGGUUAGGUAACGGCUUACCAAGGCAACGAUGCAUAGCCGACCUGAGAGGGUGAUCGGACACACUGGAACUGAGACAGAGUCCAGACUCCUACGGGAGGAAGCAGUAGGGAAUCUUACGCAAUGGGCGAAAGCCUGACGGAGCAACGCAGCGUGAGUGAUGAAGGUCUUCGGAUCGUAAAACUCUGUUAUUAGGGAAGAACAUAUGUGUAAGUAACUGUGCAGAUCGUGACGGUACCUAAUCAGAAAGCCACGGCUAACUACGUG